rnacentral:lncRNA from 1 species
UUUUUUUUUGUUGUUUUUCAGAGUCAAACAGAUCUCCCAACAGUAACAGAAGAAGAAGAAGAAAGUUAGAACUGACCUGAAAGCAGGUAAAGGACUUGGAAGAAAAAAAAAGAGGAAGAGUACCAUAAUGAAACUGUGAGAAGGU